rnacentral:rRNA from 1 species
CCUACGGGUGGCUGCAGGGAGGAAUAUUGGGCAAUGGGGGAAACCCUGACCCAGCAACGCCGCGUGAAGGAAGAAGGCCUUCGGGUUGUAAACUUCUGUGACAGGGGACGAAAGAAAUGACGGUACCCUGAGAGGAAGCCACGGCAAACUACGUGCCAGCAGCCGCGGUAAUACGUAGGUGGCGAGCGUUGUCCGGAAUCACUGGGCGUAAAGGGCGCGUAGGCGGCGCUUCAAGUCGCAUGUGAAGGACCAGGGCUCAACCCUGGGGGGUCAUGCGAAACUGGAGUGCUUGAGUGCAGUAGAGGUAAGCGGAAUUCCUGGUGUAGCGGUAAAAUGCGUAGAGAUCAGGAGGAACACCGGUGGCGAAGGCGGCUUACUGGGCUGCAACUGACGCUGAUGCGCGAAAGCGUGGGGAGCAAACAGGAUUAGAUACCCCGGUAGUCC